UACGUAGGGCGCAAGCGUGUCCGGAAUUAUUGGGCGUAAAGAGCUCGUAGGCGGUUUUGUCGCGUCUGCUGUGAAAUCCCGAGGCUCAACCUCGGGCUUGCAGUGGGUACGGGCAGACUAGAGUGCGGUAGGGGAGACUGGAAUUCCUGGUGUAGCGGUGGAAUGCGCAGAUAUCAGGAGGAACACCGAUGGCGAAGGCAGGUCUCUGGGCCGCAACUGACGC
rnacentral:rRNA from 1 species